rnacentral:lncRNA from 1 species
CCCCCUUCCCCUUCACCCUCUAUAGUAGCCUAUUAUCCAAUACAAUAGAAAAGAGUAUUCUAUAUAGUGUCUUUUUUCUUGUCUUGGUUUUAGCUACUUUUCUCUUUAAGAAACUACCAUAGAGUUAAGGUGAAGUCCCUACUCUAUUCCUUGUCAGGAAUAGGGGACUUCCAAGUACGAGUUUAACAGAUAGUUAUGGAGUAGUCCCUAUUCUAUUCCGGACCUUUAAGAGUAGCCGGUCCGGAAUAGGGGACUACCUUUACGACUACGAGUUUAACUUCAGAGAAUAGCAGUUAUAGUAGGUAUCGUGCAUUCUAUACCUUUUAGAUACUGUUUAAAACGAGGAAUCUCCUUCCCCCCUCCUUUUCUAGACAGCUAUCGUUAUCGCUUUUGCUUUCGGAACCCUGCGUUCCCCGAUGGAACAGGGGAACUCCGGAUAGACCCCUUCCUAGACUCGAAAGAGACUAGAAGGAAUUCGUUCUUGCUUGACGGACCCCUGCGUUCACCUUCGGUUCUCUCCGGACGGACCCCUUCGGCGGACCCCCUGCGGGGCUAACCCGUACCAGUCCUAUCAAACGAGACUGAAAAACAAGUUAUUGUCUCUAAUUACAUAAGUGACUAAUGAACCUACUAGUAGCGGAAUCAGCUAAUCGAUAAGUGAAAGAGUCUUUAUUCAAUAAACUCAAAAGCACCCUUCUCACUCUUCUAUAUUAGCUGCUAGCUUAAAGGCUCAAGCUACUAUUAGACAAGACGGCAUUAGUUGGGGUAUGACAUCAGGAGAGCUUUGACUUGGGAUGGGUUCGACCCAUCUGUUUCAUAUACCCGUCAGGUAAAUCCUGACACGCAUGACCGAAACGACGCCGGCUCCAUACUGGAAACAUUACUAUCUUGUUCAGCAUAAUAUAAUGGUGAGUUAUGGUUUUUAGUCGAAGAAGAGGAGUCCAGGAAAGGAAACAAAGAAAAGGGAAGCUACAAUCGUGAGAGUGCCAUGCCCAUGACCCUCUCACUCGAAAGACGAGGUUUACGGCUGUCUUAUCUCUCUUCCCUCCCUACCAAUUAGUAGUCCGGGAGAGAAGAGAGGACAGCCUAAAGCCUCUACUCGUUACUGUGCCAUUUCGAUGGCCCAGUAACUCCUUUUUCGCUCUUUCCUGUCCUCUCCUCGCUCCUGUGCCAUUUUGAUGGCCCAUGAGCUCCUCUUCUGGACUCGUUAGAGAGGUUCCCUUGCCCCAAGGAACCCUCUCUAACUCCAUACUCGUUCUUUUGCUGAGCAAAAGAGUUCCAGGUGGUGAGGUAGAGUGAGGGAUUGCCCUCGCCCUUCGGGCUCCUUGAGUUAUGUGUUCCGGGGAAGGGGUAAAGGAGAGUAAAUAAGCUUUUAUCUCCCUUCCCCGGAACACAUAACUCAAGGUCCUCGUAGAACGAGAGCAAUCCCUCACUUUACACCCUCUAUAGUAGCUAUUAUCCAAUACAAUAGAAAAGAGUAUUCUAUAUAGUGUCUUUUUUCUUGUCUUGGCUUUUAGCUACUAAACCCUUUAAGAAAAAACCAUAGAGCUCUGCUUCGGUCCACCACCUGGGGGAUUAAAAAGGGGGUUUUUUUUAGUUUUUUCAGUUGUUUUCUUAGUUCUCUAAGGUAGUCCUGCUACGGUUCCAUAGAGAUCUUAUAAAGACAACCCGAGAAGUUAGAAAGAGGAAGACAUAAACUAGAAGGAGAAAGCCGAAGGAAAAAACAACUAGGAAGGAAAGCCUUAAAGAUACUAAUAGCUUUUUAAGGUGUUUCUUCAUCCUCCCCCCGAGGGGGAGAGAGGGGGUAACGUCCUUUUCAAGCUAUUCGAUUCGUCAAGGGUAGUCCCCUAUUCCGGACCGUCUACCUUUUAGGUCCGGAAUAGAGUAGGGACUACUCCUCUCUUAUUCCCAAGUCCUCUAUUCCUUCCCGGCCCACAAUAAAGGGAAGGAAUAGAAAAAGGACUUGACCGCUUUGUUAUUCCUGGCUUUCUUUCGAUCGGUUGUUGUCUUUUCUUUCCCUUCUGUCUUGUCUUCUCUUGCCUUCCUAAAGUCCCAAACGAAAAAACCCCAAUCCAAAUCCCAAUUCCCAGUAUGGAGCCACCUUCAUUCACCCCGGCAUGCCCACUUCCUUAGCUUCGUACUCUUUUUUUAAGUUUAAGGGAUAGUUGCCACCUCAACUAUCGAGCUACCUACCCAUCUCAGCUAGCUAAGCCUUCCGGUCCAUAGGUAAACGUCCGCCUUCUUGUAUUUCCAGCCGAGUCUGAAAGUCGUAUCUUGUUUCUUAAUUGAGUGACCUUCCUGAUUCUAAAGUCCUACUAUCAAACGUUACUCCCACUCAGAAUGGCUACUGGACAAGGAUGGGAAAGCAACUUCCCAGGAACUUGACUCAUCCAAAUGAGACUUGAUCCCUACCUCUAUAAGUCGGAUUCUAAGCGCUACCCCCUGCAUAGGUAGUACUCCCUUCCUGUUUCCUUAUCUUCUUCUCGGUCCCGGUAUAGAACGGAAACAAAGCCAAAUACGUCUUAACCCAUCUAACAAGCACUUAUAGAGCACCGCAGAUCCCUUUCUUCUUGUUAGCCCCGGAGUUAUAAGAAACUUGGGGGUAUCUCAAGUAAAAUAGAUCGAUCCCGGAUCUAACACAAUUGCUUAAGAUCCAAGGGUUAUGUCGAUAUCUAGCGUGGCAUGGUGCGUACCGUCGUGAGAGUGAGUUCAAUCUUGUGUGUAAAUGAAUGAAAGUCAAGGUCUCCUAUUCUAUUUCGAUUUGACUUUCUACGGUGGCGUCAGAGGUUCGGUGAGUGGCAUUGCCCUCCUUAGCUUCUUCGUCAUACCGACCUGACGCCUGUUCGUUACGAAAACAAGUGCUUAGCCGACCUGAUACCUUUUAUCCAGAGUGUGAAAACCACUCUCAACUAUGAAUAGGACUCUUAAUAGGCUUUACUUAAUAACGAGUAGGUUUCCUUCCCGGAAAAAGACCUAACUUUACGUAACCCGGACAUUAAAUCCCUGUACUUCUAACCCAGAGCUUCUUGCUUGAACGCUUGCUUGAAAGAAUAAGGUGUUUGAUCCUGAAAUGCCGCACCCUUAUUCGCAAUAGCCUCGUCAUGCCCAGCGGAUCCAAUAGAAAAGCGGUGACCUUUUUUUGCUUUGGGAACUGAAUAAUCGAUUUCUGGGGCCUACCUUUACCACCUGUAGUCACAUCACCUAGGGCACAUAAAUAAUUGCAUGACCCGGAGAGGAGACCCACGCUAGCUCCUUGACUAAGUACCGCCCCGAUCCGACCUGUACAACUACCUUUCCAAACCCUGACCUGGGCAACCAGAGCGCCCACCUAUAUUAAACUAAAAAGUACAUGCCACCACCAGAACAUCUUAUACUUUAAGUCUGUUUUGUAGUAGUCUAAUGUUCAGAGGUUUCCGACGUACCCAGAAGUCAGGAUGUAUUCCUCUCAUCUUUCUUCUGUCUCACAGCGGAAGGAUUGUCGAUAGGCGGACGGUUAACCCCGGCAUCAACUUUAGAACGCUUUAAUCCCUCAGGAGUCUCAGGUGUGAUCAGAGGUUCCGAUGUUUUCUAGUACUAAAAAUAGAAUCCUUACUGGAAAUGUUCGAACGUCA